UGAAUACGAGAUGCUACGGCGUCGAAGCAGUGUAUGUCAGACUUCCAAGAAAAGCUCGCAAUGUCAUAAAUAAAGAAUGCCUGUACCAUAACCGACACAGGUGGGUAGGUAGAGUAUACUAAGGGGCGCGAGAUAACUCUCUCUAAGGAACUCGGCAAAAUAACUCCGUAACUUCGGGAGAAGGAGUGCCUUCUUUAAGAAGGUUGCAAUAACAAGAUCCAAGCAACUGUUUAUCAAAAACACAGGUCUCCGCUAAGUCGUAAGACGAUGUAUGGGGGCUGACGCCUGCCCAGUGCCAGAAGGUUAAAGAAGUUGGUUAGCUUUUGCGAAGCUGAUGACUGAAGCCCUGGUGAACGGCGGCCGUAACGAUAACGGUCCUAAGGUAGCGAAAUUCCUUGUCGGGUAAGUUCCGACCCGCACGAAAGGCGUAAUGAUUUGGAUACUGUCUCGGAGAGGGACUCGGUGAAAUAGACUUGUCUGUGAAGAUGCGGACUACCUGCACCAGGACAGAAAGACCCUAUGAAGCUUUACUGUAACUUGAAAUUGAAAUUGGACUUUAUUUGCGCAGUAUAGGUGGAAGGCGUUGAAAGUAAUCUUGCGGGAUUAGUGGAGCCAUCAGUGAGAUACCACUCCUAUAAUGUUAGAUUUCUAACUUUGGAUCAUGAUCUGGUCAAAGAACAGUUUCAGGCGGGCAGUUUGACUGGGGCGGUCGCCUCCCAAAUGGUAACGGAGGCGUACAAAGGUUUCCUCUGAACGGGUAGAAAUCGUAUCUAGAGUGUAAAGGCAUAAGGAAGCUUGACUGUGAGACCUACAAGUCGAGCAGGGACGAAAGUCGGUCUUAGUGAUCUGACGGUGCUGAGUGAAAGGCCGUCACUCAACGGAUAAAAGUUACUCUAGGAUAACAGGCUGAUCUCCCCCAAGAGUUCACAUCGACGGGGAGGUUUGGCACCUCGAUGUCGGCUCAUCGCAUCCUGGGGCGGUAGUACGUCCCAAGGGUUGGGCUGUUCGCCCAUGAAAGCGGUACGCGAGCUGGGUUCAGAACGUCGUGAGACAGUUCGGUCCAUAUCCGGUGUAGGCGUUAGAAUAUUGAGAGGAGCCUUCUUUAGUACGAGAGGACCGAGAAGGACAUACCUCUGGUGUACCAGUUAUCGUGCCAACGGUAAACGCUGGGUAGCUAUGUAUGGAGAGGAUAACCGCUGAAAGCAUCUAAGUGGGAAGCCCACCUCAAGAUGAGUAUUCCC
rnacentral:rRNA from 1 species